rnacentral:rRNA from 3 species
GUCCUGAAGGAACGUUGAAGACGACGACGUUGAUAGGUCGGGUGUGUAAGCGCAGCGAUGCGUUGAGCUAACCGAUACUAAUGAACCGUGAGGCUUAACCUUACAACGCCGAAGGUGUUU